UUGAAAAUCUAUUCAUUGAAUUGAGUUUGGGUUGGGCAUGCGUGGAAGGUUAAAUGCUCUAAAAAUUGGUGCCAUUCUCAACUCGUAUUCAGUAGCUCGAAUGAAGAAUCUCUUAACAAUGCAAUCUCGCGGCAUUUUCUCUUUUUUCAUCUUCUUCGAUCUUUCCAAAACUUCCUUUUCAGUUAACAUUUCCUCCGUCGCUUCUCUCGAUCACUCCACUUCAGAUCCACUGAAUCAGGUUAGGUUUACCUACACAUUCUUUCUGCAUUACAUUGCUCAUCAUCUUCUGGGAAGCAAUCAUCAACAAUCAUCUCACAUACAUUUUAGAUCAUGCAUUCAAAUACCGUGCAACCAAAUUGCUAUGACGAAUUCACAUAUGCAAAUUCAAUGUAUUCAAAUUAUUGAUUUAUUAAUUAGGAAAUUAACAAUAGAAUUUUAUUCCAGUAUAUCAUCCAUAUAACAAAUUUUUUCUGUUGUGACUUGUUAUGGUUGUUAUCUUUUUAAAAUCGCGUUAUGCUAAUCCACUGUUAAACUCCGAAAUUGGUGAGUUAAGCAACAAAUUGCAUCUAGAUAUUUGGUCUGUUUCGAUAAACAACUUAUUUGCAGCUUAUAGCACAAAUAACACAACUGCUUUUCAAAAUAAAUGCUUAUCAAUGUAUAGCCAACAAGGGUAAGAAGUGUGUGAACCAAGAUUCAGUGACAGUUUGGGAGGUAUCAGAAGUGCAGUUUUCCUCACCAAUGGUCAAGUCAAAAAUGACAGGUAGUUUCUUAGGGAAACCUUGUGAUAAAUGUGUGGAAGAAAAAGUAUAGUUACCAUUCUUGACAACAAAUGAAUAGCUACAAGAUUUCGAAGAUCG